CCGACCUUAGCUCAGUUGGUAGAGCGGAGGACUGUAGUGGUAUAUGCAGAUGAUCCUUAGGUCGCUGGUUCGAAUCCGGCAGGUCGGA
rnacentral:tRNA from 1 species